GCCAGUGUGGUGUAGUGGUUUGAGUGUAGGACUAGGACUCUGGUGAUUAGAGUUCAAUUCCCUGCUCAGCCA